rnacentral:rRNA from 1 species
UACGUAGGAGGCAAGCGUUGUCCGGAAUUACUGGGCGUAAAGCGCGUGUAGGUGGUGGGACAAGUCUGCUGUGAAAGCGCCUGGCUUAACCGGGCGAGGUCGGCGGAAACUGUCCGACUCGAGUACGAGAGAGGUGAGUGGAAUUCCCAGUGUAGAGGUGAAAUUCGUAGAUAUUGGGAAGAACACCGGUGGCGAAGGCGGCUCACUGGCUCGUAACUGACGCUCAUGCACGACAGCGUGGGGAUCAAACAGG